UCUUUGCCUUGGAAAGUCACAGAGCAGAAAAUCCACCUUGCAAAUACUGUAAAUAGAGGGACCAUAAAGGUCUUAAUCGGUCCAGGGCUACCUUGCUACGUGAAUGGCUACAGCAGACCUAAUGAGCAAGAGCAGACUCCUUGGAGUUAGAGUCCUUCCCCAAGCCCUCUUAGGGCAUUUUCCUACCGCACCAGCUACCGUACUUUUGCUCAUUUUCAGGGGGAUGGUUAGUUGCAAUAUCCAUGAAGAUUAUUGUCCCCCUCAAGCAGGACAGGGUCCAGACAAGUUUCUUCACCUGCGGACACAAACGCAGCAUGAAGCAGGCAGCCAGCGAGGGGAGGGGACAUCUCAGUGAGGCACGGGUAACACAGAAGAACAUUGA